rnacentral:lncRNA from 1 species
UUUCCUGUUCAAGAAAAAUCCAGCUGCUGUUUGGCUCAGAUGUUUUACCAAAGAGCACAGAGAAGAAGAGGCCAGCUCACUCUGAGAUAACCUACCCAGGCACUCGUGCAAUCUGCUGCUGUUGGGACACAGGGACACAUGCAGCUCCCAUUUCCACUUGAACGCUGCAAUUACUGGGGGCAUGAAGCUAUCCAAAAUAAACUCACAUAAUGGGCUGUGGUGGUUUUUUAACCUUCAGCAUUGGCCUGUCUCACAUCCUUUGGAAUGAUACCAGAUGAUCAACCUCCUUUCCUUUGGGGAAGAGGGUCCAUACCGCUGUGAAGAAUUUGAGCCUGGGGAAAAGAGAUUCCCUAUUCACCUGGAUGCCUUUCUGACAGUUAGGACUCAUUGCAUAGAUGAGCUCUCCUGAUUGCCUGUUACAAAAACAGGUAAAAUUCAAAAUUACUCUUCUUUGUCUGUUAAACCUUGGCCUUUACACAAAGGAGAGGAAAUGAAUGUGACAUUUUUCCUCAUUUCCUUUACAUUAACCAUGGAGCCAUAGGAGCUUCAGCUGUUUUUAAGGCAUUUGUGACACAAAAAGAUUUGUUUUAGCUGGUUGCUUUUGCCAAAGCUGGCUUCAACAUGAAUUGCUCCAACACUUAAAAUUAUCAGGCUGAGAGGAUAAAGAUCUGUACUCAAUUACAUACAGUUGUUGCUCGACAAACUUGUUCUUCAAAUCUUUGCUUUAAAACUAGUUGUCAUUAAUACUGCUAUGUCCACAGUUUUUGUUAAGCAUACCAGGAACUGCAAGUCCACAUUUAAAAUAAAGUCUUAUCAAAAUGUUUCA